UCAACAUGAUGUUAAUAUUACCGCCCCAGUCUGAAUUUUCAUGACUGAUUGGUCUUUACUGAUUUUUU